CUAUAAAGCCUGCAGUAUUUGUGCUUAAACCAGCACUUGUCUUUUGUAGUGAAAGACUGAGCAGCUUCAUUCCACUUGUCAGAUUCUGCACACGUUUCGUUCUCAUCCCUGAUUCCCACAAACAGGUCUGUGAAGUUCUUAUCCGGUUGGUGAAGAAGGAACAGCAGAGAUGAAUCCCGCAGCGCUCUCGAUUCUUCUUCUGUCUGCCGCGGCAUUGCUGGAGCUUCCACAGAUAAAAUGUGAGGACCCAAUCCCAAUGAACAUGGCUGAAGAUGCCCUUGAUGAUCAAUAUGUCAAUUGUAGUGAUGAAACUAUUAAACAAAUUAAAAACUAUCUCCAGUCAGAAUUAAAUAAAAAUAAAACAUUUAAAAAGGCAUGGGAAAUCGCAGUCAAAAACGUAACAAAACUAAUUCAGGAAAAAAAGAUUACGGAAUUGAAUUUGGAGCAAGCCACAGCAAUCUAUGUUUACACUAUGAAUGACGUUUACAGCGCGUUCAACACCGCAGUAAGAACAGGAGGAACGAAUUACACGAUGUUUCCAUACAAGGCGUUGCAUUUUUAUUUGACAGAUGCCCUGAAAAGACUGAGAUCCAAUAAGGAAGAAUGUUAUGACGUGUAUAGAGG